CCUACGGGUGGCAGCAGUGAGGAAUAUUGGUCAAUGGGCGCGAGCCUGAACCAGCCAAGUAGCGUGAAGGAUGACUGCCCUACGGGUUGUAAACUUCUUUUAUAAAGGAAUAAAGUGAGGCACGUGUGCCUUUUUGUAUGUACUUUAUGAAUAAGGAUCGGCUAACUCCGUGCCAGCAGCCGCGGUCAUACGUAGGAUCCGAGCAUUAUCCGGAGUGACUGGGUGUAAAGAGUUGCGUAGGUGGCAUAAUAAGUAGCUAGUGAAAUCUGGUGGCUCAACCAUUCAGACUAUUAGCUAAACUGUUAAGCUCGAGACCGUUAGGGGUAACUGGAAUUUCUAGUGUAGGAGUGAAAUCCGUAGAUAUUAGAAGGAACACCAAUAGCGUAGGCAGGUUACUGGGACGGUUCUGACACUAAGGCACGAAAGCGUAGGGAGCAAACGGGAUUAGAUACCCCCGUAGUC
rnacentral:rRNA from 1 species